rnacentral:lncRNA from 1 species
GCUAAACAAAAUGAAAAUCCAAUUCUCAUUUAAAGAGACAAAACAAUUUUGUUCUCAACCUAAUUUGGGCCAUAAAGCAAUUAACCUCAACUUUUGGGCUAUAUUGCAAAACUUUUGGGGUCACUUUGUAAAGACACAAAAGUCCACUACUUCAUGUAAUUACAAUAGAACCCAAAAUUUAAUCAAUGUAAAAACUUCAUUAAAGGAGCAAAACAAUUUGUCCUUUAGCGUUUUUGGACCUAAACGUAAAAACGUA